UAGCCUAGUGAUUAAGGCUAUGGAUCGCCAAUCCAGAGACGGCAGGUUCGAUUCCUGU
rnacentral:tRNA from 1 species